GCUGGGUGUGGUGGUGCUCACCUGUAAUCCCAGCUACUUUGGAGGCUGAAACAGGAGGACCUUGAGUUCAAGGCCAGCCUGGGCAACACAGCAAGACCCAUCUU
rnacentral:sRNA from 1 species